CUAGCUGAUACUAUUUUAAUUUUCCCUAACCUAUCAUUUAAUCCAUCAUGGCCAUUGCUUGCAGCUACUGUUAAUUCUCCAUUAUCCAGGCUGAAGUCUGAACAGGUUGGCACUGGGAAGAGGAGAGCCUGUGUGGUAUAAAUAAAAGGAUAUCACACCAAAAAUCAAGAUCAAAUGAAGUGACAUCAGGCUGUUAGUUGGCCCAGUGGAGGGAGGGCUAGUUCUAGUCAAGAAGACAAGUUCAGAUCUGCUCAGAUACUUCCUAGAUGUAUGGCUAGACAAAAAUCACUUCAUUUCAGUUUGCCUUAGUUUCCUCCCCCAUAAAAUGGGGAUAAUAAAAGGACCUACCUUGCAGAGUGUUGUGAGGAUCAAAUGAGUUCAUGUUUAUAAAGCACCUGGCACAUAGUAGAAGCUAUAUAAAUGCAUGUUCCCUUUCCUCCUUCUUAUUCAUAGACUUAGAGAUGAGUGAGACCUCAGAAGCCAUCUAAUCCAACCCUUUAUCACACAAAUGAGGUCCAAGAUCCCAUAGACAAGAAGUAACUGAAUCAAAUUUUGAACUAAAAUCCUUUGACCCCCUCUUCCCCCACCCAAGUCCCAGCAAUCUUUUUUUAAAAUUUAUUUCGAAUAUUUUUCCAUGGAUACAUGAUUCAUGAUCUCUCCCCCCCCCCAACCCCUGCUCUUCCCUCCCCGCCCCUGGAGGUAACAAGCAGUUCCACUGGGUUAUACAUGUAUCAUUGUUCAAAACCUAUUUGCAGAUUAUUCAUAUUUGCAAUAGAGGGAAGGAAGGAAGGAAGGAAGGAAGGAAGGAAGGAAGGAAGGAAGGAAGGAAGGAAGGAAGGAAGGAAGGAAGGAAGGAAGGAAGGAAGGAAGGAAGGAAGGAAGAAAGAAAGAAAGAAAGAAAGAAAGAAAGAAAGAAAGAAAGAAAGAAAGAAAGAAAGAAAGAAAAGAAAAGCAAGAAAGAAGGAAAGAAAGAGUAAGAGAGACAGAGAGAGAAAGAAAGAAAGAAAGAAAGAAAAGCACAGCAAG
rnacentral:lncRNA from 1 species